GGGGAGCCAUGCCCUGAGGGAGGGGAGCCAUGCACGAGCAGCUUCGGGUGACAGCGGCUCACUUCAAGAGCAGGUGAAGCUAUUUGGGACAAUGCUGAAGAUGUUUGCUCGCACUGGGCAAUCAGGUGCAGAUCAGACCCUAGUGCUGCGACGUCUUGGAGAGUUUGGCGAUGUUGUGCGUAGCAUGGAAAACAAAAUGGACACUAUGCUGCAACAUUUCAGUGCCAAUGUGUCUGUUGGAGAGCUAUCCCUGCCAGGGGAUGUUACUCCCCCUAGACACCCAGGAAGAUUUGGUGUUUCUUGACAGCAUUUUGAGGGAGGAUAAAGAGCUCCAGGAACAAUUUCUUCGGUUUUUGGCUAUCAGAUGUGGGAGGGACCUGAAGACAACAGUGUGGAGAAUGCUUCAGAGGGCCCUCCGGAAGAACCCGGCAACCCAGGAUGCCACUGAUGAGGCGGUCCAGGUUAACGUUACACGUUACCUGAAAGGAGCAUCAGACUGAAGGAGGAAAAA